rnacentral:rRNA from 1 species
GUCCACGCCCUAAACGAUGUCGACUAGGUGUUGGGGAAGGAGACUUCCUUAGUACCGCAGCUAACGCGUGAAGUCGACCGCCUGGGGAGUACGGUCGCAAGAUUAAAACUCAAAGGAAUUGACGGGGACCCGCACAAGCGGUGGAUGAUGUGGAUUAAUUCGAUGCAACGCGAAAACCUUACCUACCCUUGACAUGUACGGAAGCUGGUCGAGAGGCCGGUGUGCCCGAAAGGGAGCCGUAACACAGGUGCUGCAUGGCUGUCGU